UACGAAGGGGGCUAGCGUUGCUCGGAAUCACUGGGCGUAAAGGGUGCGUAGGCGGGUCUUUAAGUCAGGGGGGAAAUCCUGGAGCUCAACUCCAGAACUGCCUUUGAUACUGAGGAUCUUGAGUUCGGGAGAGGUGAGUGGAACUGCGAGUGUAGAGGUGAAAUUCGUAGAUAUUCGCAAGAACACCAGUGGCGAAGGCGGCUCACUGGCCCGAUACUGACGCUGAGGCACGAAAGCAUGGGGAGCAAACAGG
rnacentral:rRNA from 1 species